GUAGGUGGCAAGCGUUGUCCGGAAUUAUUGGGCGUAAAGCGCGCGCAGGCGGUUUUUUAAGUCUGAUGUGAAAGCCCACGGCUCAACCGUGGAGGGUCAUUGGAAACUGGAGAACUUGAGUGCAGAAGAGGAGAGUGGAAUUCCACGUGUAGCGGUGAAAUGCGUAGAGAUGUGGAGGAACACCAGUGGCGAAGGCGACUCUCUGGUCUGUAACUGACGCUGAGGCGCGAAAGCGUGGGGGGAGCAAACAGGAUUAGAUACCCUGGUAGUCCACGCCGUAAACGAUGAGUGCUAAGUGUUAGAGGGUUUCCCGCCCUUUAGUGCUGCAGCAAACGCAUUAAGCACUCCGCCUGGGAGUACGGUCGCAAGACUG
rnacentral:rRNA from 1 species